GACGAACGCUGGCGGCGUGCCUAAUACAUGCAAGUUGAGCGCUGAAGGUUGGUACUUGUACCAACUGGAUGAGCAGCGAACGGGUGAGUAACGCGUGGGGAAUCUGCCUUUGAGCGGGGGACAACAUUUGGAAACGAAUGCUAAUACCGCAUAAAAACUUUAAACACAAGUUUUAAGUUUGAAAGAUGCAAUUGCAUCACUCAAAGAUGAUCCCGCGUUGUAUUAGCUAGUUGGUGAGGUAAAGGCUCACCAAGGCGAUGAUACAUAGCCGACCUGAGAGGGUGAUCGGCCACAUUGGGACUGAGACACGGCCCAAACUCCUACGGGAGGCAGCAGUAGGGAAUCUUCGGCAAUGGACGAAAGUCUGACCGAGCAACGCCGCGUGAGUGAAGAAGGUUUUCGGAUCGUAAAACUCUGUUGGUAGAGAAGAAAGUUGGUGAGAGUGGAAAGCUCAUCAAGUGACGGUAACUACCCAGAAAGGGACGGCUAACUACGUG
rnacentral:rRNA from 1 species